CCUACGGGAGGCUGCAGUGGGGAAUAUUGGGCAAUGGGCGCAAGCCUGACCCAGCAAUGCCGCGUGAAGGAAGAAGGCUUUCGGGUUGUAAACUUCUUUGACAGGGGAAGAGCAGAAGACGGUACCUCUUGAAUAAGCCACGGCUAACUACGUGCCAGCAGCCGCGGUAAUACGUAGGUGGCAAGCGUUGUCCGGAUUUACUGGGGGUAAAGGGCGUGCAGCCGGGAAGACAAGGCAGAUGUGAAAUCCCGCGGCUCAACCGCGGGACUGCAUUUGAAACUGUUUUUCUUGAGUACCGGAGAGGUAAUCGGAAUGCCGUGUGUAGCGGUGAAAUGCAUAGAUAUAAGGAAGAACACCAGUGGCGAAGGCGGAUGACUGGACGGCAACUGACGGUGAGGCGCGAAAGCGUGGGGAGCGAACAGGAUUAGAUACCCCAGUAGUC
rnacentral:rRNA from 1 species